rnacentral:piRNA from 1 species
UGAAAACGGCACGCCUACAAACAGCACCCGUA